rnacentral:rRNA from 1 species
UACGUAGGCGGAAAAUUAAGUCAGUAGUGAAAUCCUGCAGCUUAACUGUAGAACUGUUAUUGAUACUGGUUUUCUUGAAUAUAGUUGAGGUAGGCGGAAUGUGUAAUGUAGCGGGGAAAUGCUUAGAUAUUACACAGAACACCGAUUGCGAAGGCAGCUUACUAAGCUAUGAUUGACGCUGAGGUACGAAAGCGUGGGGAGCGAACAGGAUUAGAUACCCUGGUAGUCC